GUCGAGCGCGGGAAGCUAACUGAAUCCUUCGGGAGGACGUUAGUGGAACGAGCGGCGGACGGGUGAGUAACACGUGGGCAACCUGCCUGUAAGACUGGGAUAACCCCGGGAAACCGGGGCUAAUACCGGAUAAUACUUUUCUUCGCAUGAAGGAAAGUUGAAAGAUGGCCUUUGGCUAUCACUUACAGAUGGGCCCGCGGCGCAUUAGCUAGUUGGUGAGGUAACGGCUCACCAAGGCGACGAUGCGUAGCCGACCUGAGAGGGUGAUCGGCCACACUGGGACUGAGACACGGCCCAGACUCCUACGGGAGGCAGCAGUAGGGAAUCUUCCGCAAUGGACGAAAGUCUGACGGAGCAACGCCGCGUGAACGAAGAAGGUUUUCGGAUCGUAAAGUUCUGUUGUUAGGGAAGAACAAGUGCCGUUCGAAUAGGGCGGCACCUUGACGGUACCUAUCGAGGAAGCCCCGGCUAACUACGUGCCAGCAGCCGCGGUAAUACGUAGGGGGCAAGCGUUGUCCGGAAUUAUUGGGCGUAAAGCGCGCGUAGGCGGUUUCUUAAGUCUGAUGUGAAAUCUUGCGGCUCAACCGCAAGCGGUCAUUGGAAACUGGGGAACUUGAGUGCAGAAGAGGAGAGCGGAAUUCCACGUGUAGCGGUGAAAUGCGUAGAUAUGUGGAGGAACACCAGUGGCGAAGGCGGCUCUCUGGUCUGUAACUGACGCUGAGGUGCGAAAGCGUGGGGAGCGAACAGGAUUAGAUACCCUGGUAGUCCACGCCGUAAACGAUGAGUGCUAGGUG
rnacentral:rRNA from 1 species